rnacentral:rRNA from 1 species
CAGCCGCCACGGUAAUACGGAGGGUGCAAGCGUUAUCCGGAUUUAUUGGGUUUAAAGGGUCCGUAGGCGGAUCUGUAAGUCAGUGGUGAAAUCUCACAGCUUAACUGUGAAACUGCCAUUGAUACUGCAGGUCUUGAGUAAAUUUGAAGUGGCUGGAAUAAGUAGUGUAGCGGUGAAAUGCAUAGAUAUUACUUAGAACACCAAUUGCGAAGGCAGGUCACUAAGAUUUAACUGACGCUGAUGGACGAAAGCGUGGGGAGCGAACAGGAUUAGAUACCCGUGUAGUCCCUGUCUCUUAUAC